rnacentral:rRNA from 1 species
GGUUACCUUGUUACGACUUCACCCCAGUCAUGAAACACAAAGUGGUAAUCGUCCUCCCGAAGGUUAGACUAACUACUUCUUUUGCAUCUCACUCCCAUGGUGUGACGGGCGGUGUGUACAAGGCCCGGGAACGUAUUCUCCGCAGUAUUCUGACCUGCGAUUACUAUCGUAUUCCGACUUCAUGGAGUCUAGUUGCAGACUCCAAUCCGGACUACGACAUUCUUUAAGGGGUCCGCUCCACAUCACUGUGUCGCUUCCCUCUGUAAAUGCCAUUGUAGCACGUGUGUAUCCCUACACGUAAGGGCCAUGAUGACUUGACGUCUUCCCCACCUUCCUCCGGUUCGUC